AUUGGCGGCAACAUAGAAACCGUCGGGAUCGAAUCCGAACCAGGAAUCGACACAAUGUACUCCUUCGGCUAAUCCGGUUUCCUUCCAAAUAUCGACUACUUGAGAUUAACGGUGAAGAUAUUUAAUCAUCGCGAGACGUAACGUGACGUGGGAGGAAUCGAUUGAUGGACAAAAUUGAAUUCCUAGCAUUUCUAACUCGGAAGCGACUACAAAAGGGAUUUAGCCUAAUCGUUUUUUGGAUGCGAGAAAAUUUAUGAUAAGAAAGAAUAAGGGAAAAAAACUUAUAUGAUAAUGGCUACAGGAGGAGAUGGAAUACAAUUUCACUAAAUGAUUUGAG